AAGAUGUUAGUAAAACCAUUAUAAGGCCUUGUCGUGACCUAGUUACUAGAUUAUUCUUGUACAUCUUA
rnacentral:tRNA from 1 species